GACGAACGCUGGCGGCGUGCUUAACGCAUGCAAGUCGAACGAUGAACCCGGAGCUUGCUCCGGCGGAUUAGUGGCGAACGGGUGAGUAACACGUGAGUAACCUGCCCUUGACUCUGGGAUAACUGCUAGAAAUGGUAGCUAAUACCGGAUACGACCCUCGGUGGCAUCACCAGGGGGUGGAAAGAAUUUCGGUCAAGGAUGGACUCGCGGCCUAUCAGCUAGUUGGUGAGGUAACGGCUCACCAAGGCGACGACGGGUAGCCGGCCUGAGAGGGUGACCGGCCACACUGGGACUGAGACACGGCCCAGACUCCUACGGGAGGCAGCAGUGGGGAAUAUUGCACAAUGGGCGCAAGCCUGAUGCAGCAACGCCGCGUGAGGGAUGACGGCCUUCGGGUUGUAAACCUCUUUCAGCAGGGACGAAAACAGACGGUACCUGCAGAAGAAGCACCGGCCAACUACGUGCCAGCCGCCGCCGUAA
rnacentral:rRNA from 1 species